UACGUAGGGUGCGAGCGUUAAUCGGAAUUACUGGGCGUAAAGCGUGCGCAGGCGGUUAUGCAAGACAGAGGUGAAAUCCCCGGGCUCAACCUGGGAACUGCCUUUGUGACUGCAUAGCUAGAGUACGGCAGAGGGGGAUGGAAUUCCGCGUGUAGCAGUGAAAUGCGUAGAUAUGCGGAGGAACACGGAUGGCGAAGGCAAUCCCCUGGGCCUGUCUGACGCUCAUGCACGAAAGCGUGGGGAGCAAACAGG
rnacentral:rRNA from 1 species